GAUGAAGAACGUAGCGAAAUGCGAUACUUGGUGUGAAUUGCAGAAUCCCGUGAACCAUCGAGUCUUUGAACGCAAGUUGCGCCUCAAGCCAUUAGGUUGAGGGCACGUCUGCCUGGGCGUCACAUAUCGUUGCCUGAUGCCAGUUUCCUCGUGAUGGGUGACUGUGCAGGGCGAAUGAUGGCUUCCCGUGAGCAUUGUUGCCUCAUGGUUGGUUGAAAAUUGAGUCCUUGGUAGGGAGCGCCGUGAUAGAUGGUGGUUGAGUGACGAACGAGACCCAAUCAUGUGAGACCCCUACCGAAUUUGGCCUUUAUGACCCACAUGCGUCUUUGGAACGCUCAUGACGAGACCUCAGGUCAGGCGGGGCUACCCGCUGAGUUUAAGCAUAUCAAUAAGCGGAGGA
rnacentral:misc_RNA from 1 species